AUGGUAUGAUUGCUCAUAAUGAGGCUGCUGGAGUUUGAUUGACACAUAAACAUGGUCUCAAUGAGCUCUUGUAGUGAAUGUUGGCGACAGUUGUCCACUGUAGGAGUAGGAUGCGCAUCAAAAUGAGAUCUAUCAAUCUUGAUAGAAAAGAGUACUAUAAGAUUUGAGAGGCUAAGUUUGAGAGUCUGUGGUCACAACAGUGUGAUUGAUGGAAAAAAAUUUUCAUAAGGAUCACAAUUGGACUUGAGUU
rnacentral:lncRNA from 1 species